GCUAACUGAGGAUGCUUUGCCUACCUAUCAGACCGCGAUUAAUACGUUUGAUGGAGUAUGCGAUGAGACUGGAUUCAGCCCAUGUCCAUGGGCAAUUUGGACUCGGGCAUGGUCCGCUGAGGAAAAUCGACAUGGUGAUCUGCUACGAACUUAUCUUUAUCUUUCAGGGAGAGUGAAUAUGUUGAUGGUCGAGAAAACAUUACAAUACUCUAUUGGAGCUGGAAUUGUAAGUGUUACUCUGAACAUUAUUAUAAAAUUAUUUAUUUAAGAUAGACCUAUAUACAACAUCAUAUAACCUAAAUAAUGCAAUAAAUAAGUUAAAUGAAACAACCAAAUAUGUUGCACUACUCCUAAAAGAAGUAACGAACAUUAAUUAAAUGUUUAAUUUACUACCCUUUUGUUCCAAAUUAAUAAUCCAUCCGUUCAAUUUUACUUGUCACUUAUUUCUAAGAGAUUAACUUGUGUGCACUGGCUGUGUAAAGUUUUUUACACCAUCAGGUAAGUUAAUCGAUCUCUAUGUUAAUCUCUAUCUCUAAAGAGUUUAAGUUUUGUGUACCGUCAAUGUAUAAGAUUUUCUACACUAUUAGGUAAUUUUUAAGAUAAACAUGGUAACUUAAUUAAGUGAUUAAUAAAAUAUAUUUUUGAAUAUAAUUAUAAUUACGGUGAAAUAUAGUAAAUUAAAAUUGAGUCCUCUUUUCUUCUCUAACCAAAAUUAAUUUUAGUUAUCUUCUUAAUUAACCAAGUUUAUUUGUUUUGCUACAUUUGAAUUUUUUUUCAUCUGAAGUAAUUUUCAAUGCCACAAAUAAUUUCUUAAUUGUCGUUGUUUUUUCUUUUGAAAUUUUGGCAAAGUCAUGAUCCGUACACACAAGAAGAAGAAUUUAAAAAAGUAGCAACUUAUUAUUCUGAUAUGCAAUAUUACGAUAUCCCAAAUAUCUUGAAGAUCAAAAGGUUGAUAACAAUAUAAUCACUAAUACAAAUAUAAUUAUUAUCCCUAAGAAAAUUCACAAACAAGAAAACAUGAUUUUUACUGAAAAUAAAUGAGAGAUCAAUACGACGAAGACGCAAAAACUAAAAAAAUAGAACAAGAAGAUAAAGAGAUAGAACCAAAAAACAUCAGAUUCAGAAAACCAAAUAAACUUGGGUAAUUAAGAAGAUAACUAUAAAUUAAUUUUGGUUAGAGAAGAAAGAGGACUCAACUUUCCUUUGGUAUAUUUUACAGUAAUUAUAAUUGUAUUCAAAAAAAUAUUUUAUUAAUUACUUAGAGCCUGUUUGGCAUUGCUGCUAAAAACUGCUUAUCUUUAGAAGCACUCUUUUAAAUGGCUUUUUAAAAAAAUGCUUUUGAAAAAAAGUAAUUUGGGUUUGGCUAAUUCAUUUGAAAAGUGUUUUUGACAAGCAAAUUGUGUUUGACUAAUCUUUUUUAAAAAGUGCUUUUGAGAGUCAAAUUACAAAAAAUGGUAAGUACCAAUGUACGUUUAAUACUGAGAUUAUUUUAUAGAGAGAAACUAUUUUAAAUAUCUAUUAGAAAUUUUUUAAUGAAAAUAUGCAUAUUCAAAUUUUCAUUCAAUAUUAUACAUAAAUAAAUAAAUAAGGUAAAUAUUAAUAUAAUAUUAACAUGAUGACUUAAAUAUAAUUCAAAAUAUCAAGAAAAAUAAAUUAAAAAUUAUUCCACAAAUUAAACCACUAUAUACAAAAAAUUCACCACAAAAAUAAAUAACAUCCUUCAUAUUUUUAAUCCUACAAAAAUGUUGUUGUUACAUUUAUUUCCGAUUCUGUAAAAUAAGACGUAAAUUAAUAUACAAAAUUUAAAAUAAUAAUAAUAGUAUAUAAACAUAAAAUAAAAAAUUAUUAUAUAUAUAAAAAAAAAAUCGUGUAUGAAACUUAACCAAAUUUAUGAUAUAUGUUAAUUAAUUAAUAAGGAAUAUAUUGAAAAAUACGUAUAUAUGGGAGGGAUAUUUUAGUCUUCAAGAAAAUAUUUUUUUGCUUCUACUUUUUUUAAAGAAGCAGAAAUUUUUAGCUUCUUCCAACAACAGAAAAACUGUUUUCCUUCCAUAAAAGCAGUUUUGAGAAUUUGCCAUACACAAUUUUUUUUUUGAAAAAAAAAAGCUUUUAUCGACAAAAGCACUCUUGGCCUCUAACAAUGCUAAACAGGCUCUUAAUCAAGUUACCAUGUUUAUCUUAAAAACUACCUAAUGGUGUAGAAAAUCUUAUACACUAACAGUGCACAAAACUUAAACUUAUUUCUAAGAUAGAUUUUUAUUUUUACUUGCCACUUUUGACAUAUCAAUAAAAGACAAUAUUUUUUCCCAUGUUUUACCCUCAACAUUAAAUACUUAUUUUAAAGACAUCAUUUAAUAGGGGAUAGUUUAAUAAAAUACCUAUGUCAUUAAUUAUUUUUUUAAUGGUGUGUCAAGUCAAAAUAUGACAAGUAAAAAUAAACGGAGGGAGUAAUGUUUUUAAUUUGGACACACUACUUAAUUAAGUAUAUUUUAUUUUAUUUCUAUGAAAAAACCAUCGCCAAAAGGCUGGGUCUUUGGCUUAAGGGGGUUGGCUUGCCCAUUCAAUCUACUCAAAUCUUGAGAAACUACUCAUUUCUAAAAAUAAAAAGUGCUUUUAUUAACUUAGCUCUAAAUAAGGAGUGUUAAUAAAUUCAAAGACUGCUCAUUCCAAAUUCAUUCGAACAAUGUGAUACGUAGUCUUUGAAUUUGGAAUAUUAAAGUUUGUGCAUUAAAAAUCAUAUAAGAAGCAAUUCCCUACAAUUUUUUGAAAAAUACAUAUGUUAUAAAUAUAAAUUGUCUAUCAUGUUUGCAUCUUAGGACGUCGGAGCAGAGAACAAUCAAUACAUGGGCUUUGUGUACACAUCAUUUCAAGAGCGAGCCACAUUUCUAACGCAUGGUAAUAUGGCUAGGUUAGCUACAGAAGGCGGAGACCCGUGCUAGCGCGUAUAUGUGGAACCAUUGCAGCAGACGAGAAGCGGCAUGAGAAUGCCUGCACAAGAAUUAUAGAGAAGUUGCUGGAAGUGGACCCAAACACGACUAUAAUAGCCGUUGCGUAUAUGAUGAGGAAGAGAAUCACAAUGCCACUGCACCUCAUGUAUGAUGGGCAAGAUCCGAAUAUAUUUAAUCACUUUUCGGCAAUUACCCAAAAGCAGGGGGUUUACACAUCUCGUGAUUAUGCUGAAAUAUUAAAUUUUUUCAUUACAAGAUGGGAAUUGGAAAAGCUUGAAUGCUUGACAACGGGGGAGGCGAGACGUGCACAGGAUUUUGUGUGCAGACUUCCACAUAAGAUUAGGAAGUUUGUAAAUCGAGAUAAGAUAUUAGAGUCACGUCCGGUGAAGUUUAGUUGGGUUUUUAACAAGCAGGUUUGUGUUUAAAUGUAUUGAUUUGUAAUAAAUAUGCAAAAUUAAAACUAGUACAUCCUUAAAUUAUUCGUAGCUAAUUUAACUAACAGGAGUAGAACAUAUAGCGAAUAUGCUUGCAAAUGAAGAGGCAAAGAGACUACUUUUUUAUCAUGUCUAGGAGUGACAAACGAGCGAGUCGAGUUGAAUAUGAGUCAAUCAAAAACGAGUUAAAUAAAAAUAGAUAAAGUACUCGACUCGACUCGACUCACAUUUUAAAUGGGUAAAAACGAAUUACUCAAUGGAUAAAUAUGAGUACUCAUAUUAUAGUAGAGAUCUUGUUAAAAGCUUUAAAAAUAAAAUAUUUUUAAAUUAUUUUUUUUAUCACUCCACCCUCCCUACCCCCCUCCCCCCAUCCCAUAAAAAAUAGUUUGUUUUUUAUAUAUAAAAAAAGAAGAAGUUCUUUUUCACCCAACCCCCUACCAUCCUCCUCCCCAUUCCAAAAAAAAUGAAAAUUAAAUUUUUUACUCACAAUAUCCAUCAAUAAAAAUCACAUUUUCUUUUAUUUAUUUUGCUUGUAGUUAAUUUUAAUUUUCAGCUCUUUCAGAAAUUUGUUGCGAACAGGGAGAUCUCAUUAUAAAAUUUGAACAAUUCUCCUUUCUUUGAGUAGGAUUCAUCUCACCCGAUUUUAAAGCUCCCUGCCCAAAUUAAAUUGCAAAACAAUCAUGGAAACUAUAGAGUAGCUACACAUUUUUUUCUCUGCGUCAUUUAUGAAUUAGGCACAAAUUAUAUAUCCAUCUUUAUAAAUAAGAUUUCCUUGUAAACAAUAUUGGUCACUCUUUAAUUAAACUUUGCAUUAGUCAUGAUGCAGACUAUAAGUUUCUCCCAAUUCAACAUUCCAUCGAUUGUACCGGCGUCACUUCCCCCUACAACCACCAUACACCGUCGCAAAACCACCUCAUCACGGAGAUUAUCUCCAGUCCUCGCGGUGGCUUCACCCACAUCUCGCCAUCUGCAGGUCACUCACUCAAUGCCACCAGAAAAAUUGGAAAUCUUUAAGUCAUUAGAACCUUGGGUUUCUGAAAACGUCCUCCCACUCCGCAAGCCCGUAGAGAAAUGUUGGCAGCCCAUUGAGUUUCUCCCUGACCCAUCUCAAGGGCCCGAUCAAUUCGAAGAAGAGGUUUGGGCCCUAAGGCAACGAGUUUUAGGGCUUUCGGAUGAGUACUUUGUUAUGCUUGUGGGUAAUAUGCUAACUGAAGAUGCUUUGCCUACCUAUCAGACUUUGUUUAAUACGUUUGAUGGAGUAUGCGAUGAGACUGGAUCCAGCCCAUGUCCAUGGGCAAUUUGGACUCGCGCAUGGUCAGCUGAGGAAAAUCGACAUGGUGAUCUGCUACGGACUUAUCUUUAUCUUUCAGGAAGAAGACACUACAAUACUCUAUUGGAGCUGGAAUUGUAAGUGUUGCUUUGAGCAUUUUUAUAAAAUUAUUUAGUUAAGUUGACCUAUAGCAUGAGAUAACAUAGAUAGAUAGAUAGAUAGAUAGAUAGAUAGAUAGAUAGAUAGAUAGAUAGAUAGAUAUAUAUAUAUAUAGAUAGAUAGAUAGAUAGAUAGAAGCAAUUCCCUGCAUAAUUUUUGAAAAUACAUCUUAUAAAUAUAAGUUGUUCAUCAUGUUUGAAUUUUAGGACAUCGGAGCAGAGAACAAUCCAUAUAUGGGCUUUGUGUACACAUCAUUUCAAGAGCGAGCCACAUUUCUAACGCAUGGUAACAUGGCUAGGUUAGCUACAGAAGGUGAAGACCCCGUGCUAGCACGUAUAUGUGGAACUAUUGCAGCGGAUGAAAAGCGUCAUGAGAAUGCCUACACAAGAAUUAUAGAGAAGUUGCUAGAAGUGGACCCAAACACGACUAUGAUAGCCAUUGCGAAUAUGAUGAAGAAGAGAAUUACUAUGCCGUUGCACCUCAUGUAUGAUGGGCAAGAUCCAAAUAUAUUUGAGCACUUUUCUGCCAUUUCCCAAAACCAAGGCGUCUAUACAUCUCGUGAUUAUGCUGAAAUUUUAGAAUUUUUCAUAACAAGAUGGGAAUUGGAAAAGCUUGAAGCCUUGACAGGGGAGGCGAGGCGUGCACAAGAUUUUGUGUGCGGACUUCCACAUAAGAUUAGGAGGUUGGAAAAUCAAGCCAAGAAAUUAGAGUCACGUUCGGUGAAAUUUAGUUGGAUUUUUAACAAGCAAGUGAAUGUUUAGAUGUAUUGAUUUGUAAUAAACAUGUAAAACCAAAACGUAUCAUUUUACUAAUAAUAAUAGUCUUUUUGGCUAAUCUACUAAAAUGAACUUGUCUUUAGUGAAUAGCGGUUUGUAUUUAGAUAAAUUAUUUUGAGAAGUACUUUUAUUAUUAGUUUGUGUUUGGUCAAUAUUUCUAAGUGUUGUUAAAUUUCAAAUUACGAAAAGAUACAGAUACUACUAAUUGAUUUGAUAAUUAUGAAAUUUUAAUAUUAGUAAUCUUGUUCUAAAAGAAUUAAAAGUAUUUAUAUUUGGAAGAACCUAUAUGUUUGUCGGACUUCAAUAAGAAUAUCGGGAAAAGGGAAAACAAAGCUUGAAAAAUUAUUCUAUAAGCAAGGGAAAAGGAAAUUGAUGGUAGUAACAGGGCCAAAUUCGUCAAGACACGCAAAUUAUUUUUGUAGGGAGCAACUGUAUGCCUGUAACAUACUUUAUUUUUACUGAUCUAUUUUAAUGUUAUUACAAAAAUGCCCCAAUACCAGAGACAAAGCAAAGGACAUGCAAGUGCUUGAGGCUUUAAUAAAAGAUAUAAUACUAAAUAGAUUUUUUUAAUUAUAAUAAAAGUAUAUACACAUGGAGCCAUGUAGGCGCCACGUAGACUAAUAAAAAUGGUGACAUAAUAAGUUAACUAUAUAAGGGCAAAUAUGUACCCAAAGUUGGAUGGUAAGGGUAAAUAUAUCAAAAAAGUAUGACGAAGGGUAAAUAUAAUCGUUUUCUAAGAGUACAAGGGCAAAUAUGAUCCUUUUUCGUUGUUAAUAUCAUGUAUUUCUGGGUAUUAGCAACACAAUGGUUUUAAUGCAUGCAUUAACAUAAUAAAAGACUCAAUUGCCCCUCAAAACCCCUUUUUACAUUUUUUCCACCAUAAUAGUGGAGGGUAUCUUUGUAAAUAUUUUUUAUGCAAUGCAUCAAACCAAACAAUGCACUAAAAUAAUCUAUGCAUAAUAAAUACAAACAUAACUAAUAAAUGCAUUGCUAAUACAAACAUUAUUAAUACACUAUAUUUAGCAUUAUUCGUAUACACUCUGCCAAACGAGCCAAAGACUUUUGAGCUUAUAGCACAAGCAUACAAUGCAACAACAUUAAUGAAAUAACUAAUAUGCUUUAAAAUCUAACUUUAAUUACUCCUUGAGGUCCAUUCUAGUUUUCAUGCUUGACUUUCAAUAUUAAUCAAAAAGUUAAUUAGACUAAUUGUUCUGAUUUAUGUUUUGAUCGUAUUUAAUAUUAUUUCAUUUUUUCAUCAUAGUAAGACUAAAAUAAAAAAAAAUGUUUUUAAUUUUUUUUUUUAAUAUGACAAUAUUUUAGACUUAUUAUUUUUAGUAAUCAUAAAUAAUAAAUAAAUAAAUAGACUGAAGGGAGUAUAAGAAGCAACCAUGUCAACCAUAAAUUGCUUAUUUUCACUUCAAUUAAUAAUAUUCUCUCUGUCCCUAAUUAUUUGUUCACUUUUGAAUUGACACACCUAUUAAGAAAAUAAUGAUUAGCAUAGUGAGUUAAUCAUUUUACUCCUAUUAAUUAUGAAGUGAAUGAAUUAAAAAAACUUAAGACUUUCAAAAAGUUCUACCUUUUUCAAAGUAAUUAAUUGAAGGUAUAAUAGGUAAAAAGAAAUUGUCCUUUCUUGAUUUGUCAAAAUAAACAAGUAAUUAGGGACAACUAUAAAAAAAAAAGUGAACAAGUAAUUACGGACAGGAGGAGUAACAAGUAAAAUAGAUCAGACAGUACAGGAAGCUAUGUCAACUAUUGAGCUACUUGUUCACUCUUUUACUAUGAGAGAGAAUAACUAUGGUUACAAGAACAUAAGUAACAAUUUAUUCCCUUUCGGUUACCAUUAAACUAUAGUAUUAUAUUGUACUAAAGAAAGUAAAGAAAACAGUAAAUUUCUUGGCCCAAAAGAUCUUUUACAUAAUUUUGCUAUCACUAAGUGGACACAAAUAAUAGUGAUGAUUUAAUUUUCAUAAGUCAAUAAUCUUCAUAACUUUUACAAAAUUGGAACCCAAGAAAAGAAACUUGAUCCAUGUAUGAGAACUCUAAAUAUAUAAUUACUUGUCAAAGUGCUGGUUAGAUCAAAGUAAAUACACCAUAAUUAUCCGCAUGGGGGGCCAACGAUUUUCUUAAUAUUUUUCUUUUAUAGUCCCAAAAGGACAUAAUAAAGAAGGGUUACUGGUAAUGGAACCAACCUCCCAAAUAUAACCCUGCAAAACAAGAGAAUAAAGUCAUUUCAAAAUUAUAUCUUUUAUUUUGAAACUAAAGAAUAUUUAUAAUGCAAGGGUAAAAUAGGUAUUUAAAAAAAUUGAUUUAUAAAGAAAAGUUUGACGAUGUCAAUGAUUUUAUACCUAAUUUAUUAAACACGCAUUUUAAUAAAUUUAUGUUAGAUGUGUUAAAUUAUAUAUCAUAAUCGAAAUAAGAAUUUAUCAAUAACUAAGGGAUCGAAAGUAAUUAAGAUGAACAUAUCCAGUACUUAGUAUGUCUGGAUGCAACCCAUAUUCUCUAGCGAAGACGAAUGGAACGAUUCAUUGGGGAAGAGCUGCCUGAAUAUUAGGUAUAAAAUUAAAAUUUUAUUUCCUAUAGUCUUAAUUUAUUUAAACUUAUAAUAUAUGAUAAAAUAGAGUUUUUUUUUUCAAAUGAAAAAAAUGAAAAUUCUCUACAACUAAAAGUUUUGAGUUCAUGCAUGCUCUUAAAAAUGUUAUUACAAACUUGAAUAAUUAACAUCAUGGAAACAGAAAUGGUGCACGAAUUGUAUUAACACUCAUAACUCUCCAUCAUCAUACUCUUCUUCUCCCAAAGAAACGAUUGAAGACUUUGAAGAAGAAAGAAGAAAGAAAAGAGAAAGAAGAGGAAAGAAGACUUCAGACAACUACCCUUCAAUAAUUGUCUGAAGGUGACGUGGAAUAAUCUCAACCUCUAAUCAAGAACGAAACGGAUCAAAUGUGGACCGUUGGAUUGAUCAGUCUAGAAUAUUGCACUCACAUGUUAGGCAUGUGAGGAAUAAUAGUUUGUUACAUAUGGAUAGGUGCUCUACAAAUUAGAAAGUGACAGGUGUAUAUUGUUGUUGCUUUAUUUUAUUUUAUUCAGUAAUUAUGCUUGUAUAUAGAGAUCGUAUUAGGUAUGAAUAGAUAUUCAGAAAUUUUCCCAAAAUUCUCUACAAUUUCUUUCAUGGUAUCAGAGCAGUAGCUCGAUCCAAAUCAACAUAUUCCUUUCUGAAUCAUCAAUUUCCUAAGAAAUGGGAACCCCAGCAGCUGAGACUGUUCUUCCUUCUGAAAGUUCUUCCACUCUGAAUGAACAACCUAGUCAUGUGAUGAGGAUUGAUAUACAUCACCCAUACUUUCUUCACAAUUCAGAUUCACCUGGGAUGAACUUAAUCACUUCAAAUUUUGAUGGAAAAGGAUUUCCAGGUUGGAGGAGAUCCAUACGCAUUGCCCUAUCUGCCAAGAAGAAACUUGGAUUCAUCAAUGGUACUUGUGCUGCACCAGAUCCACAAAAAUCCACGGUAUGCACAGUGGAGUUGCUGCAAUGACAUGGUAAUAUCAUGGUUGUUAAAUUCAUUGACAAAGAAAUUGCAGACAGUGUAAUUUACUCUAAAACAGCAAAAGAGUUGUGGGAUAGCUUGGAGCACAGAUUUGGUAGGACAAAUGGUGCUAAAUUUUAUCAUUUGCAAAAGGAACUGUUAGGAACUAUUCAAGGAAAUUCUGAUAUAGCAGGAUACUUUACCAAGCUAAAACGUUUGUGGGAUGAACUGGAUGCACUCAAUAUCAUGAUGUGUUGCUCUUGCGUAUGUGUUUGUGAGGGUAAGUCUAAGCUGGUUAAGUCAUUGGAGGAUCAAUGAUUGAUACAAUUUUUGAUGGGGCUUAAUGAUGUUUAUGCCCAAGCUAGGGGAAACAUUUUGAUGAUGAACCCAUUGCCUAAUGUUGACUAUGGUUAUUCACUCCUUUUACAGGAUGAAAACCAAAGGGAAACAUAUGAGCACAACUCAUUCUCUAAUGAUGCUAUAGGUUUUAUGGCUAAUUCUCAGGGGAGAAAUGUUCAAAGAUCUGGUAACUUUGUCUCAAAAGGAAACUUCUCUCAGGAUAACUUUGCACCACAGAGAAACUCCAUUCCUAAUCAAAGGGGUGAUAGAGGGAACUACAAGAACAAGGGGAGAAGGAAUAAGUAUGAUCCAAAUGUGUCUUGCACACAUUGUGAAAAACUGGGCAUGUUUAUGAUAACUGUUACAGGAGGAUUGGAUAUCCUGAUGAUUUUGAAUUCACUAAGUCCAAAUACUUCAAUUCCUCUAAGCCUAAAGGGUUUCAAGGAAGGGCAAAUGGGGCUUUCCCAAGUGAGGACAACAGUGAGAUCCAAGGCAUGACACAGCAACAUGGAACACCUAGCAACAUUUUUGAUCAACUCAACAAGGAGCAGUAUGCAGCCUUGGUAAAACAGGUUACAAGAGACCUGAAAAUAGAGCAGAAUAGCACAACAAUUAGGUUCAAUGCUUCUGCCAUUUCUGGUACAGUUCAAAAAUACUCUGCCUCAUGUUUAACAAUGUUUAACUCCAGCACCUGGAUCAUUGAUUCAGGUGCUUCAGAGCACAUGUGCUUUGACUCUCAAUUUUUCACCUUUUUAACUUCUCUUCCUGUGCCUUUACAUAUCACAUUGCCUAACUCUUUCAGGAUAAUUGUGACCCAUACAGGAAGUGUUCCUAUACUGCCCAACCUGACUCUUCAUAAUGUGUUGUUUGUCCCAGUUUUCAGAUACAAUUUACUGUCUGUCAAUAAGCUAUGCACUCAAUACACAUGUGACCUUCUUUUCACUCCUAGUUGUUGCAUUUUACAGGGCCAUUUAAUGAAGAACAAUCAAGUUUUUGGUGAUGUCAGGGAUGUUCUAUACCUGUUGGAGCAUGUCAGUCCUAAGUUUAGGAUUUUAUCUAAAAAUAUAGUUUCUUUUCCAAAAGGAAGCAAUUCCAUUUCUCAGUACAAUUCUGUUUCUUUUCAAAGUUCAGUCAAUGUAGUUCCUAAUGUUGAUCUCUGGCAUGUAAGACUAGGGCAUGUGCCCUGCUCAGUAAUGAAAAAGUUUGAUUUUAUCAAGUUUGCUCAUAACUCAAAUUUUGUUUGUGAUGUUUGUCCUAAAGCAAAACAAACUAGACUCUCUUUUCCCCUCAGUCACAUUCAUUCUAAAAAGAUUUUUGAUAUGAUACAUGUUGAUACUUGGGGACCUUACAAGUCUUCUACCUAUGAUGGCUUUAGGUAUUUUUUGACUGUUGUUGAUGAUUACAGUAGGGGGACUUGGACUUUUCUAAUGGCCUCUAAGAGCAAUGCUUUUCCUAUCCUCAAGGAUUUUCUGGUCAUGGUUGAAAGACAGUUUCAGACUUGAGUCAAAUGCAUUAGAUCUGACAAUGCCAUGGAAUUAGGAAAAGGUCAUCAUGAGGCUCAAUUUCUUAAAUCUCAGGGUAUAAUGCACCAGACUUCUUGUGUGGCUAUAUCUCAACAAAAUGGGGUUGUUGAGAGAAAACAUAGACAUUUGCUUAAACUUGCUAGGAGUCUUAUGUUUCACUCUAAAUUGCCUAUAUGCUAUUGGGGAGAGUCAAUUCUCGCAGCCACUCACUUGAUUAAUAAACUACCUUCCAGAGUGCUUAAAGGCAAGAGUUCCUAUGAAAUGAUUUUUUCUAAGCCUCCCUCAUAUGAAAACCUUAAAAGUUUUGGAUGUUUGUGUUAUGUGUCCACCCUCAGUCACCAGAGAUCUAAAUUUGACCAAAGGGCUGUGCCUUGUGUCUUUUUAGGCUAUCCUACUUCUCAAAAGGGGUUCAAAGUCUUAGAUUUGGCUACUAAAAAGGUUUUCUCUUCCAGAGAUGUCCAGUUUCAUGAAAAACAUUUCCCUUUCAAUUCUCUUGUUUCUCCUACACCACCAAUUUUCUCCUCCUUCCUUUCUAACCUACCUGACCAAAUUUCUCAUUCUCCUCUACUCCCUUAUGAGGAGUCUCACCUUUCUUCUUCUUCCCCUGAUUUAUCUCUGUCUCCUGAUCCUGUCUCUAUUCCUUAUUCUCCUCCAGAUUCCCCUGAACCUUCUCCUCUUCCCAGGAGGUCUGGAAGAGUCACUACUGUCCCUAGCUAUCUGCAUGACUACAUUUGCAAUAGUAUAGUUCUGACUGACCUUACUGAGGCUUGUUUUAUUCACCCUUCUAAGCCUACAACCUUCUCUUUCAAUUCCCUCUCCUUGUCCAACCAACACCACCUCUUCUCUCUAUCACAGGUCACUGAACCACAUAACUUUACCCAAGCUUCUCAACAUCCAGGCUGGACUGCUGCUAUGCAAGAAAAACUAGAUGCAUUAGCUUUCAACAAUACAUGGGAAAUGGUGGACCUUCCUCCGGGGAAGAAAGCAUUACCCUGUAAAUGGGUCUACAAGGUCAAACACAAGUCUGAUGGUUCAAUUGAGAGGCUGAAGGCUAGACUAGUUGUGAGGGGGGAUGUCCAACAACAGGGGAUUGACUAUAAUGAAACAUUUUCCCCCGUAGUCAAGAUGACCACUAUUAGAUGUUUACUUACAAUUGUUGUCAAGAAAGAUUGGAUGUGAGCAAUGCAUUUUUGCAUGGUGAUCUACAGGAAAUUGUCUACAUGCAACCUCCUCCAGGUUUUCACCCUCCUAAAUCUACCCAAGUUUGCCUAUUGCAGAAGUCUCUAUAUGGGCUUAAACAGGCUUCGAGACAGUGGUAUGCUAAAUUGGCAGGUGCAUUGAUUUUCCAGGGUUAUUCAAGUUCUCUUCAUGACUAUUCCCUAUUUUUCAAGACUACUGGUGGCCUUACAUCCAUUAUUGUUGUUUAUGUGGAUGACAUUCUCACCACUGGGGAUGACAAAGAUGAACUUUUACGUAUCACUACAUUUCUACAUACAGAGUUUAAAGUCAAAGAAUUGGGUGACAUACAUUAUUUUUUAGGCCUUGAGAUCCUCAGAGAACAACAAGGGUUUAUUGUCAAUCAAAGAAAGUUCACUUUGGAGCUUCUCAAUGAGUUUCCUCAUACAGGUCCUGAUGUCUCUACUCCACUUGACCCCUACUCUAAGCUUACUGCAGAAGAUGGACCUUUGCUAUCUAAUCCUACAAUUUACAGGCACUUAGUUGGAAAACUCAACUUUUUGACACAUACUCGACCUGACUUGUCAUUUGCUGUGUUGAAGUUGAGUCAGUUUAUGCAACGACCUACUCAAUCACAUUAUUCAGCGGCACUUAGAGUUUUGAGAUACUUGCGUAUUGAUCCUAGCCAAGGCAUCCUUCUUUCCUCUGCUCCGUCACUACAACUCCUUGCCUUAUGCGAUGUCGAUUGGGCUUCCUGCAAAGAAUCACGUCGAUCUGUUAGUGGUUACUUCAUCACACUUGGUGGUGCUCCUGUGUCUUGGAAGUCUAAAAAGUAGACCUCAGUUUCUUUAUCAUCUGCCGAAGCGGAAUACAGAUCUAUGAGGCGUGUCACAGCUGAGAUAACUUGGCUCACUCGAUUGCUCACUGAUCUUUCUGCUCCUCCUCCUUUACCGGUGUCUGUCCACUAUGAUAGUAAAGCCGCUAUUCGCAUCGCCAAGAACCCUGUUUUUCACGAACGUACUAAGCAUGUGGAGUUGGAUUGUCAUUUUGUUCGCCAACAGUUCGUCUCAGGUUUGAUCACCUUAUCGUUCAUCCCAUCUGCUCAUCAGCUGGCCGAUCUGUUCACUAAACCUCUGCCUGGCCCUUCUCAUCAAUAUUUGUUACACAAAUUGGGGGUUUCUUCUCUUCCCUCCAAUUUGAGGGGGGAUAUUAACACUCAUAACUCUCCAUCAUCAUACUCUUCUUCUCCCAAAGAAACGAUUGAAGACUUUGAAGAAGAAAGAAGAAAGAAAAGAGAAAGAAGAGGAAAGAAGACUUCAGACAACUACCCUUCAAUAAUUGUCUGAAGGUGACGUGGAAUAAUCUCAACCUCUCAUCAAGAAUGAAACAGAUCAAAUGUGAACCGUUGGAUUGAUCAGUCUAGAAUAUUGCACUCACAUGUUAGGCAUGUGAGGAAUAAUAGUUUGUUACAUAUGGAUAGGUGUUGUACAAAUUAGAAGGUGACAGGUGUAUAUUGUUGUUGCUUUAUUUUAUUUUAUUCAGUAAUUAUGCUUGUAUAUAGAGAUCGUAUUAGGUAUGAAUAGAUAUUCAGAAAUUUUCCCAAAAUUCUCUACAAUUUCUUUCAAAUUGAACCACUAAACAUGUAAUUAAGUGUAAAUAUAAUGUCCAAAACUUUUAUGUCAUAUGAUUAAGUUUGAAUUAAAUUUGAUAAAGGUAUUAUAAUCAAUGUUCAAAUUAGAAAGAAUUAAGUAAAAAUAUAUAGUUAAUGAGUUUAACUAAUGUGCACCAAUAAUGUAAAAAAAUAAAAUUACAUUAUUAUGUCAAGAGAAAAACUUAAUAGUACGAUAAUAUAUUUAUAUAGAAUUUCUAUUGUGAGCAUACACAAUUUGAUGGUAGACAGUCAUGCUAUAUAUAUAUAUUGUAAUAGGUAAUUAUUUGCCUUCAAAAUUACAAUUUUUUUUUUUUAUAUAUAUAAAUGUUUAUCUAUAGAUAUUUUUUGAGUGACCUAAUAAUUACCUAUACAAUUACAGUAUGAAGUCAAACUCCUUUAAGUCCAACGGCAAUAGAAACGGCUGACAUUACUAGAGGUCCACCUAUAAAUCAUAUGGCCAUCCCUAUUGCUGCCAUCUUAGGACCACACACAAUUAUUCGAGGUUGAAGUGCCAUGAACAACCCUAUAAAAAAUAUAUCAUACCCACAUUGAAUAUAAUGUUACGUUGCUAGGCUAGCAUAGCUCGCUUGGCUCUUCGAGCAAUAUUUUCAUUACAUUAUAUCAACUACUUACUAGUUAUUUCACUGAGGUAAAUUUUGGUAAUUAUGUGACAUACCUUAACUGAACAUUGCCAUCCCAAGGCCUGCAUCUGAAAUUAUUUUAAUGGAAUAUUUCACCAAACUUGGCAUCACCCACAUUCCAUCUGCUCAAAAAGUUAGGCAACUUUGUUAGUAAGUAUUCUAUGAUUCAAGGAAAGUAAAAGACUUUUUUUUUCCUUUUCUGAAGACAUGAGUACUAAAGUUUAGUCCCUCUAUUUGACUUCUGAACUGGUUGAACGAUCAUUUAAACUUUGGCAUCAUUAAAUGACCCUUUAUAUAUUGAGUACAAUGCCAACAACCAAUAAAAAAUUAUAUUAGUAUAUUAUAUUAACCAAAAGUAUUAAAUUACCUUUAUUAAGUUUCAAAAUUACAUGGUGAUAUAUUAAGAAGUACUCUCUUUCAAUUUGUUCGUCUAGUUUUAAUUUGACACAAUAUAUAAAUGUGGUAAUAUAUAAAUAUGGGAUUGUUCUAACAAAAUAUAAACUUGUGGGUUAACUUUUGUUUUAAAAAAUCUCAAAUCAUGAUAUGAAAUUUUCAAAUCAUGAUUUUUGGAGAAUAUGGUAUUCCAUUUAUGAUAUGAAAUCAACAUGAAAUCGUAUGUCCAAAUACUGAUUCCAUCUCACGAUUCCAUAUCGUAAUAUGGUAUCGCAUGGCCAGGGCCGGUUCUUGCCUAUAAAAUUUUAGGCAUUGGCCUGAGGCCCCCAAUUUUUGGGGGCCUCAAAUUUUUAUAAAUAAAAAAUUAUGUAUCUUAACCCUAUUACAAAUAGAAGAAAUUAAGGAAACAUUGUUUUGGAUUCUUACAGUUUCUUCGUUAACACUCACAUUAUUUAUCCUUUGUAACUCUUUUUGCACUCUAUUUCUUCAAAUCUUCGAUAGUUAGAGUAAUACACUCUUAAAAAUAUGAAUCAACAGUCGAAAAGUGUUAGAACAAAGUGCAUUACAAAUUAUUAUUUUUAAUUUAUUUGUUAAUUUUCAUAUUAAAGUAGGUAUACCAAGUUAUCAACUUUUUGAAUCAGAUUCUAUGAUUCUAACUUUUAUCUUUAAAGUUUAUCAACUUUAUUACUUAUAAAAUUGUGUUAAUAAUUCAUAUAAUAAUUGUCUCAAUAAAAGGAAUGUUUUUCAAUGCUGAAUUGAUAAAAUCUUACUUAAAACUAAUAAUUAAAAAAAAAGUAGUUUGAAAAAUCAUUUAUAUAAAAGAUAUUAAGUAGUAAUUUACAUCUAGAAAUUUAGAAAAAUAAAUGGAUAUAGAUAAAUUUAUAUAGAUUUUAGGCCUCUAAUAAAAAUUUCGCUUUAGGCCAUAAAUUAUGUUGAGCCGCCCCUGCGCAUGGCCAAACGAAUAACUCGACAGAGAAUUUCACGGUGUCGGUAUUUUAUUUCUUUUAGUCAGGUUAGUAAACCUUAUGUAAAAUACAUUCGCUUAAAAUAAUCAACAAACUGAUCCGGCUCCUUUCCAUUUCUCUUCUCUCCAUUUUCCCAAGUUCCUAUUUGGAUUAGUGACACAUGGCAUGGGUUAAAAUAAAUGAUUAAGAUUUAAUUUCCCAAAGUAAAUCUCUAACCAUGAUUUAACUAAUAAAUAUAUUUUACAUUUAAUUUUAAAAAUUACUAUAAACCCCACAAUCUUAACAACAUAUUAUCUUGUUCAUAAAUUUAGUGGAAAAAAAGUUUUCUUCCUAAUUUUUUUUACUUGGGAUGUUAAUUUUAUUUUAUUUUUAAGUUAAUAUUUUUGUUGCAUUUUUUCCUUGAAUUUUUCUUUUUAACCAUUAGCUAUUGAAGAGUAUUAUUUUUCCUAUUUUAUUUCACCUUUUUUUUUCUAUUUCCUCCAAAAUUAACAUUAGCUAAAUUUGGCAGCAGUUCAAUAUUUAAAAGAAAAAUAAAAAAGAUCCCACGUAAAAAAAAAAGUAAUUAGGAAGAACUUUUUUUCCCUAUAUUUAUGGACAAGAUAAUAUGUUGCUAAGAUUGUGAGAUUAUAAUAAUUUUUAAUACUAAAUAUAUAUUGUAUUUAUUAAUUAAAUCAUGGUUAGAGAUUUACUGUGGGAAAUUAAAUCUUAGCCAUUUAUUUUAACCUAUGGCUUGUGUCAGUAAUCCAAAUAGGAACUUGGAGAAAAUGGAGAGGAGCCAGGUCCUCAACAAAUUAUAUAUCCAUCCAUAUAAAUAGGAUUUUCUUGUAAGCAAUAUUUGUCACUCAUCUAAUAACACUCUUUAGCAUUAAACUUUGUAUUAGUCAUGAUGCAGACUACAAGUUUCUCCCAAUUCAACAUUCCAUCGAUUGUACGGGAGUCGCCUCCCCCUGCAACCACCAUACACCGUCGUAAAACCACCUUAUCACGGAGGUUAUCUCCAGUCCUUGCGGUGGCUUCACCCGCAACUUCUCCAUCACGCCACCAGGUCACUCACUCAAUGCCACCAGAAAUAUUUACUACUAAAUUACAGAUAUAAUUUCCACAUUUUCUUUUUAAUUUUUCACUCAAAAUUUAUGUUCUCUCCUUUUGAUUUCUCUUCCACAGGUUUAAAGGACAAAUUGGGCCUACAAUCCACGUAUUAAAAAGUGAGGGGAUCCUCAUACAAAUUUGUUGGUUAUACCUCGCUCAAAAUAAAAAAUUUCAUAUAUUUGGGAGAAACUACGUACGUAAAUAUUAUGUGUCUUACUUGUUGUUUCGUAGUCAUUUUACUUAUGUUCUUACACCAUUCGCAGUUAAGGACCUGAUUUCUUGACUCGUGGUGGAUUCUCAUAAGCCAUCAAGAGAAAAUAAUAUUUCAAUUGUUGAUUUCUCAGAUAAUCACUCAACUUAUAUGUAUUAUAUCAUAAAGUCAUUUUCUUAUUGAAGAAUAAAAAUCAAGAAAAAUGUGACCUUAUGAGAUAAUAUCAAUUAAUUGAAUGAUUAUCUGAAAAAUUAACUCUUUGAAAUCUAAUAGGUGUGCUUGAUCAAUAAAAAUAGAUUAUAUUGAUUGUAGACCAUUUUAUCUAGGGUUGGGCAUAAAAUACCGAAUUACCGAACCGAACCAAUUUUUUUGAUAAUUUGGUAUUUGGUAAUUAUGUAUUUGGUAUGGUAUUUGAGAGUAAAUGUUUAAAAUUAUGAUAUUUGGAUUUGGGUUUGGUAUGAGACAUUAGUACCAUUUGGUAUUCAGUAUUUCCCGAAUACCAAAUUAUUUACUUAAUGAAGGUCAUAUAUCAACAUAUCCAUUACUCAUUUGUAUUAGUCAUGAUGCAGACUACAAGUUUCUCCCAAUUCAACAUUCCAUCGAUUGUACCGGCAUCACUUCCCCCUACAACCACCAUACUCCGUCGCAAAACCACCUCAUCACGGAGGUUAUUUCCGGUCCUCGCGGUGGCUUCACCAAAAACUUCUCCGUCACGCCACCAGGUCACUCACUCAAUGCCACCAGAAAAAUUGGAAAUCUUCAAGUCAUUAGAACCUUGGGUUUCCGAAAACGUCCUCCCACUCCGCAAGCCCGUAGAGAAAUGUUGGCAGCCCAUUGAGUUUCUCCCUGACCCAUCUCAAGGGCCCGAACAAUUCGAAGAAGAGGUUCGGGCCCUAAGGCAACGAGGUUUAGGGCUUUUCGGAUGAGUACUUUGUUAUGCUUGUGGGUAAUAUGCUAACUGAGGAUGUUUUACCUACUUAUCAAACCGUGAUUAAUACGUGGGAUGGAGUACGCGAUGAGACUGGAUCUAGCCCGUGUCCAUGGGCAAUAUGGACACGGGCAUGGACAGCUGAGGAGAAUCGACAUGGCGAUUUGCUACGGACCUAUCUUUAUAUUUCGGGGAGAGUGGAUAUGUUGAUGGUUGAGAAGACACUACAAUACUUGAUUGGAGCUGGAAUAGUAAGGCCUCUUCUGAAAAUCUUUAUAUAUUCAUCCUUCUUUUUUAUUUAGUUAAAUACUGUACACAGUUUUUUAAAAAAUAAUACAAUAACAUCAGGUAACUAAAAGAUGCCAUAAAUAAGUUAAAUAUAUAUAUGAAAGUUGAAACCACCAAAUAUAUGAUAUUUCUUUGCACAGGACAAGUAAAAAAAAAUGAAAAAAAAGUAUUGAAUAGAUAACCAAAAUUAAUAAUAUUGUUAUAGUAAAUGAAGCAUGAUAAAUAAAGAUAUGCUAGAUGAGAGUUACACAUUAAAUAAGCUUGAAGUAUUUGUACGUUAUUCAUAUUAUUAUAUGACCGUUAAAUAACGACGUUAUUCUUUUUUGAAUAUUGUUUUACCAUUUUUUUAACCUGGUUUAAAUGAGAAUAAAUAAUUGACAGAGACCUAUGGUCAUCCAAUUUUGAGUCUACCACACAAAAAAUAUUUUUCUAUAUUUAUCAUCAUACAUAUGUAUUAAAUUCAUUCAACUUUAAGAUUAUCACACAUAAUUCACUUUUUUAUUUUUUGAUACUUAAAAGUUAUUUUACUUUAAAAUUUAUCGCACAAAAGACAAAUGAAGCAAAAUAUUUAAGGAGGUUUAUGGAAUUUCUCAGACACAAAGUAACUUAUUUUGUAAUAUGGUGUCAUUUUUCUGGUACAUAAUAUAUAAAAAAAGUUCAAGUGAUAUUUAUUUUGUAGUUAACUAAGUCAAAUUAAGUUGAAUAACUUUUAUAUGAGCGGUAAUUAUUUUACCAUGUAAUAAGUAGUUUUUGAAGUUGAAAAUACUAUAGUCAGCGGUAAGGUUGCAUGCAACUUCUUAUAAUUGUCAUGUAUUUUUGAAAAUUCUUUGCAUAUGUUAGGACAUUGGAUUAGAGAACAAUCCGUAUUUGGGCUAUGUAUACGCAUCAUUUCAAGAGCGAGCUACGUGUUCGUCACAUGGAAAUAUGGCUAGGCUAGCUAUAAAAGGCGGAGACCCCAUGCUAGCACAUAUAUGUGGAACCAUUGCCGCAGACGAGAAGCGACAUGAACAUGUCUACACAAGAAUUGUUAAGAAGUUACUAGAAGUGGACCCAAAUGCGACUAUGCUAGCUAUUGCACACAUGAUGAAGAAGAAAAUCAUAAUGCCAAUGCAUCUCAUUUAUGAUGGGCAAGAUCCGAAUAUAUUUGAGCACUUUUCUGCCAUCGGUGAAAGACAAGGGAUCUACACAUCUCGGCAUUAUGCUGAAAUAUUAGAAUUUUUUAUAACACGAUGGAAAUUGGAAAAACUUGAAGGCUUGAUUGGCGAGGCAAGGCGUGCACAGGAUUAUGUGUGUGGACUUCCACCAAGGGUUAGGAAGUUGGAAAGUAGAGCCAAGAAAAUAGAGCCACGUCAAGUGAAGUUUAGUUGGAUCUUUAACAAACAAGUGAGUGCUUAGAUGAAUUGAUUUGUCAUAAACAGAAGCAAACCUAGGAUUUGAAGACUCUGGAUGCACCAAUAUUUCUUAAUUUUAGCAUUAGCGAAACUUUCAAAGGUCAAGGUGGGUUUGUUCUACCGAAUGAUCAUGGGGUUGAAUCUCUUAUUUAGCAAUUUAAUGUUAUAAAUAUGUCCCCUUUAAAUCCAAAACUUAUAAUAAAAACAGUAAAAUAUGGUUCUUGGGCUCAAACCUAAGUCGUGAGAGCGGAUGCACUGGCCUUUAAUUACCAGCAGUACCAAGUGUCAUCUUAUGCUUUCCAUGAGGGCAUUGUUACUUAUAUUUAGUUUCUGUCAGUUUCUCAAGAUAAAUAUUCAUAUAUAUAUAAUUUUUUCGGAAAUUAACGGAUGCACGUGAAUCCCUAUCUAUACAUGUGGGUCCACCUAUGAUCAUAAAGACGUAAAAUAAAAACUUAAUUAUCCUUUCACUGAUAAUCUUUUUCGCUAAGCUGGUAAAAUAAACUUAUUUUGAGACAUAUAUUCGUCUUAUAAAAUAUAGUUUAGUAAGUGUUCGAGAGAACAAUAAUAUGUAACUGAUUAAAUCAUUUGAGAAGGGCAUGUAAGUAUUAGUUUGUAUUUAACAAUAUUUUUAAAAAAGUAAUUUUUGAUGUCAAAUUACGAAAAACAUAGUUACCACUAAUUAAUUUGGUAAAUAUGAUUUUUUUAUUUGAAUAAUCUUGUCAUAAAAAAACUAAAAGCACCUAUAUAUUUGGGAAAAUGUUAUUUUGAGCUAUGUAUAAUCAACAAAAGUUGUACGAGGAUCCACUAACUUUUUAACAUGUGGAUUGUGGGCACAAUUUGUCCUUCAAAUCUGUACAAGAAAUCAAAAGGAGAGAGAAUAUAAGUUUUGAGUGAAAAUUAAAAGAAAAAUGUGGGGUCCACGCCAAAUUUAAUUUAAUAUAUUAGUAAAUUAUUGGAUUAAAUGGGCAUUGUGGGGCACAUUUGUCACUCAUUCCAACAAAAAUUCUAGCACUCCUUUAUGGCUUUUCUUCUUCUUCUUGAACAUCAAAAAAAAAUUACAUUCUUUUCCAGCAAAUUAAUUUCAAUAAAAAUCAAAAUGCAUGUCCAACUAUUGAAAUUAAACAUGCAAUUAGAUUGGUGUUUCAACAUUGGGGAUCUUAAAUGGUUGUUGAUGAAAAAAUAUAUAGUUGUUGAUGCUUAAAUAAUUGAAAAGUUGAUGUUGAUCUUGAUUCUUCCCUCUAAAUCGUGCUCAAUCACUUUGAUCUUCGUCUGCAAUUUUUCGUUCAUAUUUUUCACGUAUGAAUUAUAUUUAGAUAAUAACAAUUAAUUGAAUGAUUAUCUGAAAAAUAAACUCUUCGAAAUCUAAUAGGUGUGCUUGAUCAAUAAAAAUAGAUUAUAUUGAUUGUGGACCAUUUUAUCUAGGGUUGGGCAUAAAAUACCGAAUUACCUAAUCGAACAAAAGUUUUUGGUAUUUGGUAAUUAUGCAUUUGGUAUGGUAUUUGAGAAUAAAGUUUUAAAAUUAUGGUAUUUGGAUUCGGGUUUGGUAUGAGACAUUAGUACCAUUUGGUAUUCAGUAAUUCCCGAAUACCAAAUUAUUUACUUAAUGAAGGUCAUAUAUCAACAUAUCCAUUACUCAUUAGUACAAGUCCAAACAGAAAGUUAAAGAAUAAGCAUGAAUAAUAAAUACAUGUCUUUUAGUUGCAUCAAUUUGCUUUUAUUGAUGUCUUCUUGCUUGUUGAUCUUCUACUAUAUCGUGCAUUCACAUAAAAAAAAUUGAGAAAUAGUAUUAACUAUGUAAUACAAUCGGCUAUAACUUCAAUAUGGUAUUACCGAAUACCGUAUCAAACCGAAGUUUAUCUUACCGUUUCCUGAAUUACCAAAUCGAAAUUUAAAAAUUUGAUAUUUGAUAUCUACUUUUAACUAUCAAUUAUCGAAUUAUCAAACCCGAAAUUUGAGAAACCCGAACCAAAUUUAAUGUACGACCCUAUAAAUUGGCUUCAUUUGUCAAAGGAGACGUUAACAUUAAUGUCAUAGCUUGAAAAUUAUAUAGAGGAAACAUGUGGGUUAAGCGUAAACUACGUCAAAAUUUAAUGUAUUCUCUUUCAAGUAGUAGUAAUUCCCCCAGCUAAAUGAAGGAGUCUAAACACUCUACUUCUUAAAGUUAGGUACUGAAAAGAUAAGAAGAUAAAGAGAAGGAAAGAAAAAAUAAAAAGGAAACACAGAAAAUAGUUUUGUCUAACUCAAUUCAUUUAUAUUUACUUCAAGGGUUAAAAAGGUCAAAAACACACUUAAAUUAUUUUAUUUUAUUAAAUUUUCUACCUGAAUUAUUGAAAGUGUAAGUUUUCUAUGUGAACUAUCAUCCAAUGGUUAGCAAAACACAACUAGACGUUGACUAGACCAAGUGUUUGUCUAAAAAUGCUUCUAGGCACGUUUUGUCCAUAAAAUCUUCAUCCACCAGUCAUAAAUAAUGUCUUUAUUUUCUGACACAUUAUUUUUUAAAUAUAUUUUUAAUUGACUUCUUUAAAAUAAUAAACUCUCCCUUUUCAAGUCGGAGAUAUCAAUACCAUGACAAAGACGAGACCACACCUAAGAAGGUGUAGUAUAUGGUGAUAGUUUUAACCUUUAACCUAAGCGAGACAAGUAUCCCCAACUAUUCGACAAUUCAGAUACUACUCUACUCAUACUUUAGCCAGUCUUUCCUAGUUGAUCACUCGGGGAAGAGUGAUGGGUAAAUUGGUAUCUAUUGUAACGACAUGUUCCCAUCGUUAGGAAAAAGCCAAUGGGGAAAGAAUUGGGGCCAGAAAACUUUUGAGUAGUAACUUGGAAAUUCCUAGCCUAGUCCAGAUUUGGACGAAAUCUGAGUCAGUGGGGUCUAGGGAAAUCUGGUAAUGAAUGAGAGAUCUAAUUAUUAAUUUGAUCACAUGAGUAGAUAGGUAAGACGUUAAGAAACCCGUACGACCUUACAGAAUCAAAUUCGAGCGAGUAGUACUCCCAAAAUUGAUCUUAGCGUGAGCGGGUAGUUUCUGAGUGUCAUGGGAUAAAGGUGUGUUAUGAAAUGGGGGGUUUGAAACUCUUAAUUUGACUCUCUGUUUUCGUGCAAGCCGCCAGGGCGGGACUGGGUCCGCUGUAGCGGGCCAGUCGCAACUUAAGUCGGGAUUAAACUCCAAAAUUGUUAUUAUGUGCAAGUUUCGUUCUUGAGAGCUAAGAGACGACCCAAGGCUAUUUCUUAAAGGUUUUACACCUCUUCUAGCACUAAAGGUAAGGAUUUUACUCCCCUAAUCCGCUUUUCGAUCCGUAGAACUUAGGUGAUUAUCGAUGGGAGAGGGUUUUGACAUGAAAACGAAUGGUGGAAAACCCUUAAGUUAGGUAUUAGGAUCUUGGGUUUGGCCUAGGGUUGAUAAUUUUGAUUGUAAUCUGGGUAAUUAGGCCUCAUUUAUUGAUCAUUGUAUUAAUUUGUUGUUUUUAGACAAUGAACAAGCGGAAAGGGAAGAUUCAAGUGGCUUAGGGGGAUUCAAGAUUGGUUUCGAGGUAGGUGAUGGUUUGAUUUCAUAUUUUGUGUGAUGUAUAUUGGUAAUUGCUUCAUUGUAAUGCAUGUAUGUAUGUGAAUGAAGUCUUGUUGAUCACACCUAAUGUAAUUGAGUAUGAAGGAAUGAUUGUAUGCCAUGAAUCAACACUUGAUUGUAUGAUUAUGAGAAUGUACAUUGUGAUUGUGAUUGUGAUUGUGGCUUGUUGAAUGGAUCGGGUGUCACAUUCCGCAUGUUCUGAUACAUUAACUUGGAUCGGCUGCCAUAUUCCAGCGCAUAUAUGGGAUCAGCUGUCACGUUUCGGCACACUAACAAUUUGGGUAUGGAUUCCAUGAGAGGACUAUUGAAUUGGGUUCCAUGAGAGAACCAUUGAUUUGUUACAUCUACUUAUUAUUGAUAAUGUGGAAUCGUUCAUUGCUCCCAAAAUGAUAAUCGAUGUGUAUAGAUAUUUUGUGCAUGUAUGUGUUUACCUUGUUGUCAUUUUGAUAUAUGUUGUGCUUACUGGGAUAGCCGUGUGAUCCUACCAGUACACUGUGGUUGUGUACUGAUACUGCACUUGCUUGUUCUUUGUUGAGUACAGGCAUCUUCAGACGGCUAUUGAUAGACCUCAGCUAGGUGACUAUUGAGCGUGACCGGAUUCAAGGGUGAGCCAGUUUUUUCAGGCUGCCAUGGAUCUCUCUUGUUUAAGUCCACUCUUUUCGGACUCAGACUAUUUGUUUAAGGUGUUUGUUUAGUUUUAAGGAUGCGCCCCCUUUUCUUAGACUUGUUGCACUCUAGAUGUUUUGGUACAAUGACUUUCAGAUUCUAGGGGUUAUUUCCGCAUUAGUUGUUAGAUGUUAGUUGAACUUCCGCAUUAGUUAUGUUCGUUGUUUUAGUUGAACCUUUGGAGUUUAUGGGAACUCCAUAUUCCUUUAGACAUUUAAACAUGCUUUCGUAUCUUUAAAUGCAUAGUUUUUGGCUAAGUUGCUUAGUCGGGCUGUAGAAAUGGUUCUCACCAGAGGAUUAGUGUGAGUGCCAAUCACGAUGGUCUGGGUCAUGACAGUGAGGAUGAGUAGUGAUUACACAAUCAACAUCCUCACAGUAAUGUUGAUCAAACACAAGUAUGUUGUAAGGAUUUUAUUUGUUCAACCACAAUUCAUUCUCAUACAUCUCUUAUUAUUAUACCAAUUUAUGCGGACUCUUAUAUGAUCAUAUGACUUGUUUAAACUCAUUUAUUUGUGUACAUUUUAAUAAUUUAUUUUUUUAUUAGUUAACUAUUUUCUUUUUAAAAUUCUACUAGUUAAAGUCUAGACGUGUGUAUCAUAAUCUAGUAAGUUUAUUAUGGAUGAAGAUCUUAGUAUAGGCUAGACUAUACUUAGUUUAGUCCUCGACUUCUUAUAGUCUAACCUAUCCUAAGACCUUCAUCCAUAAUAAACUUACUAGGUUAGGAUACAUAUGUAUAGACCAUAACUAGUAGAAUUUUAAAAAGAGAAUAAUUAAUUAAUAAAAAAUAAACUAUUAAAAUUUAUACAAUUAAGUAAGUUUAAACAAGUCAUAUAAUCAUAUAAGAGUGGACAUAUUGAAGAUAACGAUCAAAUAUGUAUGAUGAUGAGUUGUGGUCGAACGAAUGAAAUCCUGACAAAACAUACUUGUACUUUAGUAAACAUUAUUCGAGGAUGUUAAUUGUAUAACCAUUAUCCAUCAUCAUACAUCUCUGAUCGUCGUUCCCAAUUUACAUGGACUCUUAUAUGAUCAUAUGAUUUGUUUAAGCUCAUUAAGUUGCGUAAAAUUUUAUUAAUUUAUUUUUUUAUUAAUUAAUUAUUUUCUUUUUUGACAAUAUGCUAGUAAGAGUUAUAAACUCAUACAGUAUAUUAUUGAUUAAACGUGUAGUUUAGAUGUACAAUGAAUUCAGUUGAUGGUCCUCGAUAUAAUAUAAUUGAUGUAGUUAUUUACUUUUUUGUUAUAUACUAAUAUUUUGUUUAUCAUUGCACUAACCAGCAUAUAUCUUACAAAUGAUAGAAUGUCAAUCUAUACAAUCCAUCAUCUACCAGCUAAUGUUCAACGUAAUCAACUGACACUAAUUCGAUUCAAGUGCCAAAUGAUUGCGUGUAGUGAUAUAACCCAAUCAAGGGUUGGGAUCGUUCCCACAGGGAGUGGGUUUGAGAAUUAGUAGAAAAAUAAAAUCAAGUUCUAAUUAGUCAUAGCUAUAAAUAUUAACGAAUAAAAACAUACUAAAUCUAAGGAGUGAUGCAAACGUCAAUUAUCAAUGGGGGUUUGUAUUAACUAAUCAACAAAAAAAAGACAAAAAUAUAAGGAAACGCGAUAGGGAGGCAGGGUUCUUGGGAUGUGAUAGGAAUACGGGUUAAACUAGACUAUCGGGUACAUGCUUUUGAUAGUAAAUUAUUGAGAAUUUGUGACUAGGCUAGACUAUAGUGGGGGUAAAUUCUCUCUCGAGCAACUUACCCCGAAUCAACUCGGUUUCUCUCAAACACCGAGUUGUCGCAUUAAGCACAUCCUCCACCUUAGCCUAUUCACUCUCUCGAGCUGAAUGUGUGGAGAAGGACUAGGAUUCACUACUCUCGAAGCUGAACCUAUGUCGACCCAAUACCACCGACUAUUAAUUUAGUAGUCUUAGUUUUACGACCUCUCUCUCGAGCAAGCCAAAAACACUAAGAUGAAAUCGUAUUUUGCAACUACAAUUUUAUUAAGUUCAUACACAACUACUAAACGAAAUCACAUUGAAACAACAAAUAAACCAUCAACAAGCAAGACCCAACAGAUAAUUUAGUCCAUAUUCACAAAAUAACACCCCAAGAAUUAGGGUUUUAGCUAGACAUGUAAAAGAAAUAAAAAUUUAUACCAAUAUCAGUUUUCAUCAAUUGGGUAUGACGAAUUAAGUCUUAAAACAUGUCAAAAGUGAAGAAUAUUCGAGACCCAUGUCCAAUUUCUUGGAGUUGAAAUCCUUUGAAUCUUCAAGGUUUUAGAACAAAGUCUCUAAAACCCUCUAAAACUUAUACUCUUUCAAAAACUGUAAAAAAUUUGAAUGCUAGAAGUCCUAUGAUAUUAUAUUUAUUAUUUAUAAUGUUUGAAAAUUUAUGCUGCGGAGGAUCAUUCGGCGCAGUUAGUCGGGAUCGCCGAUACGCUCGACGAUCCUCUUUUCGAUAGAUUUCAUCGCCUUCCUGCUUUAGCCUUCAGCCUUUUCGCGUUUUGAGUCUUUAGGCGAUAUGGUACUGCUUCGGGGAACUGAUCGGCGACGCGCCGACUGCUCCAUUUCAUCGCCAACUUGACCUUUUCCUUCAGGGCUCAACACACUAGAAUAAAAUGCGAUCUCCAAGCCCAUCAACGACUCGCCAACUGGGCUCGGCGAUCUUUAGCCUACAUUUCUUUGUUCUUUUCAGCCGCCUUGUUCCUUCUUGCCAAGUAGUGUCCAUGUUUUGCCUCAAACUCUAAAUACCUGAAACUUAAGGAUUUUCAUAAGAUAUUGAGACAAAAUAUCCAUUUUAGGACACUAAUUCUAUCAAAAUAUAGCCCUAAAUGAGUCCAAAUUGUGGACUCAUCAACACCCCCAACUUAAACUUUUGCUUGUCCUCAAGUAAAACCCAAGUUCGACAGUNNNNNNNNNNNNNNNNNNNNNNNNNNNNNNNNNNNNNNNNNNNNNNNNNNNNNNNNNNNNNNNNNNNNNNNNNNNNNNNNNNNNNNNNNNNNNNNNNNNNNNNNNNNNNNNNNNNNNNNNNNNNNNNNNNNNNNNNNNNNNNNNNNNNNNNNNNNNNNNNNNNNNNNNNNNNNNNNNNNNNNNNNNNNNNNNNNNNNNNNNNNNNNNNNNNNNNNNNNNNNNNNNNNNNNNNNNNNNNNNNNNNNNNNNNNNNNNNNNNNNNNNNNNNNNNNNNNNNNNNNNNNNNNNNNNNNNNNNNNNNNNNNNNNNNNNNNNNNNNNNNNNNNNNNNNNNNNNNNNNNNNNNNNNNNGCUCACUCUCACAAAGAAGAACACAAUGCAUGCUUUCACCCAUAGGUUUGCCCGUAUUUUCCAAUCAACAAUUGUUUCAGCUCACUCAAGAUUAAAAAAAAAAGGUUUUUUCAAGGCUUGUAAUGGGGCUGAGUGCAAAGGUAUGGUCAUUUAAGCUCAAUGACUUUCAUCCUCGUGAAAUGUGGUGCUUUCAACACUCUAUUUCCUUUUCUUUUCGUCAAUUUCUUUAGUGCUUAUAAGUCAUCCCAUUAUUCACUUCCAUGGAUUGUUCGGAACCCUAUCUCUUUUGACAUUUCUCAUAACUUUAUUUCACAACUUUUUCUUUUUAUUUUCUCUUGUUUUUUUUUUGUAUGGAAGGGUUCCAUUUUUCUCAACACCAUGGGUUAAAAGGGACUUUUCUUGCACUUCUUGACUUGCCUUUUCUUUUCACCACACCUCCAACUUAGGCUUUUGGCAUAAGUUGACUAUUCAAUCAAUCACAAAUCACGAGGAUUAUGGGUAGUGGAUUUAAUAAAGGUCAUGUUUUCAUCAAGUUUCUUUCAAAGAAAGGUAAGGCUCAAGGUGUGUUUAAAAGAGGUUCACACACUCACAAGGUAGGCCACAAAAGAAGUAUAUGUCAAAUUGGCUCAUACUCUUUCGAAGUUGCCUAAGAUCAUAUCAAGAGAUAACCUUACUUAGUCGACUGGACCAACGGGGCAAAUUCUAGGUGUUAUCAUGCAUGGUUCAUAAUAAGCUCAUCACACAAGGCAUCGACACCAAAGUCAAACAAGACUCCACACUUUCGCUAGUAUGCAACGUUCAUCACAAGAGAAUCAAUUCGAUAAUUGUCUAGUCACAACGAGAUGCAAAGAGUUCACAUAUUGACUAUGUAACUUCAAUUGGUCUCAUCGUAGCCGCACAUUCAUGUUCAUUCGAUUAUGAGCACUAUUUGAGUCAUCGAUAUUGAUCAAAAUCGAGACUCAAAUUUGCUCAAGAACAGCCACAUUCCACACGUACAAGAGGCGGCAAAAAUUUUAAAAUUUUUCGAAAGGGUCAAAAUCAUUUACAAUUGAAAAUAAAAGGAGUCACGAUCUCAAACAUCCACAAGAAGCAGUGUAAGACACAAUUUUAAGCACAACGACCCAAAUAUAUAAAUAAAACAUGAGCAUAAUCAGCACACAAAGGUGGGCCUCAACCCACCACAAACAAAAACCAUUUGUCCUCAAAUGCAAAUAAGAAUUAUUCAACAGUGAAGUAAAGCAAAACAGAGAGAGAGGUAAAGAAGGGAUCCUGUCUAUGUAGUCUCUUCAUUUGUCUGGGCAUCAGUGUCUUAUGCCUUACCCUGAUCCUGGGCAUCAGUACCCGAGGUUACCUCAAGAGGAACAACAGUACCAGAUUCACCAAGUUCUGUUGAGUGUGAGUUUGCUAGAAAGACAUGCACCGCCCUGCAGAAUCCCCGAGCCCAUGAAGGAAUAUUAAGGUCUAGGGUAAUGGUUUACCUGGCAGAAGUGGGCCUCUUGCCCUUGCCUUUCCUAGUAGUUGUGGGUAGUUUCGUAGCUUUGCCUUUCGACGUAGCUGCUCCUCAUUUAUCACAAUCUUUUGGACUUCUUUUGGGCUGGUGUUAUUCGUUCAACAGCUUUUGAUUUAGUCAUGUCUGCAAAAUCUCGAAGAGAAGUUAGAAAAACCUAAACAAAAGCACAGCAGAACAAUUUCAGACAGGUUCACCAAAUCAGAGGGUGAAACGCCGAAUUUCUUGGGGGAGCUAGACUGAGUUCGCCGAAGGAAUUAGCUCUAAAAACUGCGGCAAGUAGGAGAUGGGGGCACUUACUCGGCGUGUCGCCGAUAGCUUUCGGCGAACAAGGAUAGGCCUGCCGAAAGUUCCAGUGCACAAAGGUUCAGGGAUACAGACAAAAGGCGACUUACAAGCCUUUCGGCGAGUCGCCGAGUGCUUUUGGCGACCUCAGGCUUCUCGCCAAAAAUUACAAACUUUAACUACUCACUUAGCAAAAAAUUAAAGGCGAGAUGAGGGCACUAGGCGAACCGCCGAGUAGUUUGGUGAGCUCGACCCAGCUCGCCAAAUGACCCAACGUGCCUACCUUCAACCCAUCUUCUCGAAUUCAUCCCCGCAACCUCCGAAAAUAAAAUUAAAGCAUGCACUAGUUCAAUUUAGCUCAGACACAUCACAUCCGAACACGACCCCUCGAAUUUUAAUCCUGUUUAAGCCAUACAAUUACGGGAUGUUAACAAUUUCACUUAGUAAGGGCAAGAUCAUCGAAUCAAAACAGGCAAUCAAAAAUUCUAAUCCUACCAGAGGCCCAGCACACAUCAACAAAAUGAUAUUAUUGCAUUUGACUACAACUUUUGAUAAAAGAAACUCAGGGCUCGGAAACCAACCUUAGAUGUCGAUUAAGAUGCUAUUGAUAUGCUAGGUGGCAAUGCAAUCCAAUCCCGAGCACAAAUCAGCACUAAAUAUACUCUAAAAUGCGAAAAUAUAGGAACUAGUGUGCGGGUGUGAGUUUGGGAAGAUAAGAAGUGAUGGAAAGUGAACGAGUUAGAAUUUUUAAACCUUAGGCCUGCAAAACUGUCCAGUUUUUGCCCUUUCGGCGACAUUAGUCAAGCUCGCCUAACCUCUCUGGCGAUCCGCCGAGUGUUCAUUCACCUCACUAAAUAUUACAGAAUUUCCAGUGUGUGGGGCCCCCAACGACGGUCUCCAUCGAGAUCGCUGACAUGGUCAGCGAUUUGCCAAAAAUUUUCUAGGCUCGCCGAGUUUUACAGACUCCAAUUUGAAGAUGUCUUGAGUCAAAUGGUGGAUUAGGUCGGGUUCACCGACCUCUUUGGCAACUCGCCGACUGGACCUGUGACUCGCCACCCUACACUUUUUUGCACACUUUCCACACUUCAACCUGUAGAAACAACACACCAUUAUUUUAUAAAAACACAAAUAAAAAACAAUAAGAGGUUUUGGGUUGCCUCCCAAACAGUGCCUUAUUUAACGUCGCGGCACGAUGCAAGUCCACCUUCAAACCUCAUUCUUGGGGUUAGCCAUAGUAUAGCUAGGCAAACCCCCAUGUUGUCUCGAAUUGAGAUAAGACAAUAUAUGACCCAUUUGGGUCUCCAACUGCUUUAUCGACACUGAAUGAGAAGUGACGGUCUGGCUAAGGGUGGACACAUUUUCUUUCAUUUCUUUCAAAAUUUUGUCUGACCCUUCAACUUUGUUGAGGAUACGAGAGAGCAUAUCCUGAGACCUACCACGUUCCGAAUCCUUCGACUUUUGGCGCUCAUGGGGAGACACAUACAUGUCCUUCACCCCAUCCUUCCAGUUAGGAUUUCGGUCCCUACAUUCUCUGUCGCGAUCCUUCCAACUGAUGAUGAUUUGCAUACCUAUCAGACUUUAAUUUGUUUAAUACGUUUGAUGGAGUACGCAAUGAGACUGGAUCCAGCCCGUGUCCAUGGGCAAUUUGGACUCGGGGCAUGGUCCGUUGAGGAAAAUCGACAUGGUGAUCUACUAAGGACCUAUCUUUAUCUUUCGGGGAGAGUGGAUAUGUUGAUGGUUGAGAAGACACUACAAUACUCUAUUGGAGCUGGAAUUG
rnacentral:lncRNA from 1 species